rnacentral:rRNA from 1 species
UGCAGUCGAACGAUGAUCUCCAGCUUGCUGGGGGGAUUAGUGGCGAACGGGUGAGUAACACGUGAGUAACCUGCCCUUGACUCUGGGAUAAGCCUGGGAAACUGGGUCUAAUACCGGAUACGACCGAUCACCGCAUGGUGUGUUGGUGGAAAGCUUUUGCGGUUUUGGAUGGACUCGCGGCCUAUCAGCUUGUUGGUGGGGUAAUGGCCUACCAAGGCGACGACGGGUAGCCGGCCUGAGAGGGUGACCGGCCACACUGGGACUGAGACACGGCCCAGACUCCUACGGGAGGCAGCAGUGGGGAAUAUUGCACAAUGGGCGAAAGCCUGAUGCAGCGACGCCGCGUGAGGGAUGACGGCCUUCGGGUUGUAAACCUCUUUCAGUAGGGAAGAAGCGUAAGUGACGGUACCUGCAGAAGAAGCGCCGGCUAACUACGUGCCAGCAGCCGCGGUAAUACGUAGGGCGCAAGCGUUAUCCGGAAUUAUUGGGCGUAAAGAGCUCGUAGGCGGUUUGUCGCGUCUGCUGUGAAAGACCGGGGCUCAACUCCGGUUCUGCAGUGGGUACGGGCAGACUAGAGUGAUGUAGGGGAGACUGGAAUUCCUGGUGUAGCGGUGAAAUGCGCAGAUAUCAGGAGGAACACCGAUGGCGAAGGCAGGUCUCUGGGCAUUAACUGACGCUGAGGAGCGAAAGCAUGGGGAGCGAACAGGAUUAGAUACCCUGGUAGUCCAUGCCGUAAACGUUGGGCACUAGGUGUGGGGGACAUUCCACGUUUUCCGCGCCGUAGCUAACGCAUUAAGUGCCCCGCCUGGGGAGUACGGCCGCAAGGCUAAACUCAAAGGAAUUGACGGGGG